rnacentral:misc_RNA from 1 species
GUAUAUAGAUUGUUUAGGAGGUAGGUUUGGUGGUUUGUUAUUUUUAUUUUUUAAAGAAUUUUUUACUUUUCUUUCUCUUUAUUUUUGAGUUUGGAAGAAGAGAAGAGAUGGAGAUGGGGUUGAGAAGUUAGAAAACAAAUCAUCAGACAGAAGAAAGGGGGAAAAAAAUAAAAGGCAGAUAAAGAUACAUCAGUUUUCUUGAACCCACCAACAAAAUUCUUGAUUACCCCACCCACCCCCACAUUCCAACCCAGGUCCA